rnacentral:lncRNA from 1 species
AAUAGUCAUAAAUUUAGUUCCCAAAGUCAAAAUCGAGUGAUUCAAAGUGCGUUUCAAAGAUAAGAGAUAGAGCUUCAAACUCCAUGCAGACAUAUUAAGCAAUAAAUGCUUGGAUCCUAUCCAAAAAGUUAUCGUAAAUCUGAUGAUUUUACUAAACUUGAAAAUUGGCAGCUUCGGUGAAUGAAAUUUAAUAAAUUUC